GGAACCCCCGGGAACCGCUCCAGGAGGCGGCAGCAACGCCUCCAACUCCACCAUCACGCGCCCCAACCGCUCCAGACGGCCCGGCGCGGGCGGCAACGAAAAUGUGGGCACCAGCCAGGCCAUCAGUUCUAGUCUUGUCUUUUCCAAAAAGGCCUGAAGCCAGUCUUGCAAAGAGGUUGCAGUGGCCAUGCAGCUGGACACCUGGAACUCUUAGCUCUGCAGGAUACCAGGACACCAAAGGCUGGAAGCCUUAGCCUUGCCUUGUCAGGAAAAAUCUGUGGAGGCUGCUCUGGGUUAAGCAGUGGUUACAGGGAGCAGGUCUGUGCCAAAUCGAGGAAAUUCACCUGCCAAAUCUUGAAUACAAACCUUAAAACCUCAAGCUCCAGAAGAGUCUCCAAGUCCUAAAACUUCCCUGCCACCAAAUCCUAGAAAUUAAAACCUGACACUGUUGGCUUCAGGAAAACUGGUCACUUCAGAGCCCAGUGCUAAGGACCCCUAUUUUUCAACUUUGUGAUCUUGAACAAGCUGCACCUCCAUUUUGCCCAUCGGUCUAAUAGCAAUACAGUCAUGAUGAGAUGGACCUC